rnacentral:rRNA from 1 species
UGAACGCUGGCGGCGUGCUUAACACAUGCAAGUCGAACGGUCGCAAGACUAGUGGCGCACGGGUGAGGAACACGUAGCUUAUCUGCCCCGAAGUGUGGGAUAACGCUCCGAAAGGAGUGCUAAUACCGCAUAAGCUCCCAGGCUAUAGAGGCCCGGGAGAAAAGGCGCAAGUCGCUUUGGGAGGAGGCUGCGGCCCAUCAGGUAGUUGGUGCGGUAAUGGCGCACCAAGCCAACGACGGGUAGGGGACCUGAGAGGGUGAUCCCCCACACUGGGACUGAGACACGGCCCAGACUCCUACGGGAGGCAGCAGUGAGGAAUAUUGCCCAAUGGACGAAAGUCUGAGGCAGCGACGCCGCGUGGGUGAUGAAGGCCUUCGGGUCGUAAAGCCCUUUUCUGCGUGACGAGAAAAAGGACGGUAGCGCAGGAAAAAGUCUCGGCUAACUACGUGCCAGCAGCCGCGGUAAAACGUAGGAGGCAAGCGUUAUCCGGAGUUACUGGGCGUAAAGAGUGCGUAGGCGGAUCUGUAAGUGGGUGGUGAAAGCGCCCGGCUAAACCGGGCGAGGUCCAUUCAGACUGCAGGUCUAGAGGCGGAUAGAGGGGUGCGGAAUUCCGGGUGUAGCGGUGAAAUGUGUAGAGAUCCGGAGGAACACCAGUGGUGCAGACGGCGCCCUGGGUCCGAACUGACGCUGAAGCACGAAAGCGUGGGGAGCGAACGGGAUUAGA